UGGGGAAUCUUCGGCAAUGGACGAAAGUCUGACCGAGCAACGCCGCGUGAGUGAAGAAGGUUUUCGGAUCGUAAAACUCUGUUGUUAGAGAAGAACAAGGACGUUAGUAACUGAACGUCCCCUGACGGUAUCUAACCAGAAAGCCACGGCUAACUACGUGCCAGCAGCCGCGGUAAUACGUAGGUGGCAAGCGUUGUCCGGAUUUAUUGGGCGUAAAGCGAGCGCAGGCGGUUUCUUAAGUCUGAUGUGAAAGCCCCCGGCUCAACCGGGGAGGGUCAUUGGAAACUGGGAGACUUGAGUGCAGAAGAGGAGAGUGGAAUUCCAUGUGUAGCGGUGAAAUGCGUAGAUAUAUGGAGGAACACCAGUGGCGAAUGCGGCUCUCUGGUCUGUAACUGACGCUGAGGCUCGAAAGCGUGGGGAGCAAACAGG
rnacentral:rRNA from 1 species